rnacentral:antisense_RNA from 1 species
CGAUUCUGGGAGAGGAGGUGCUCGGAGGAAAGGGCGGGGGUUGCUGAUGUAAUGGGGAGAAGUGAUUAAUCCUUCGGUUCGCCGUUUCAGCUUCCCCCCUACCCCAACCUUCACCCGAUUUUUUUGAACUGAAAAAAAAGUGGAACGAGGGAGCCAAUCUUUGGUCCCACAAACUGCAAGGAAAAGAAAAACCCUCAAGAGGAAUUACCUUUAUACCUGAUGCCCCCAACAUAAUCUCUCUCCAAGGGAAACUUGUUUUUAUUGCCUUGCGGCUGUUACGAUGACUGAAAAUGUAUUCUGGAUUCUCCCCCUUCUCUCUUUUGUUUUGCAUUUUUUGGAUGUGGUAAAACUGGCAGUUUAUCUGAUUAUCUGGUUUUCAGAACUUUGGACGAUGUCUCUGAGUGUCAUCAGUUGCUGUCUAGGUUUGACAUAGAUAAUUAAGCAACUACAAAGCGUGAUAAAGCUUUUGAGAGGGAGGAAAGUGUAUUUUGGAAGGAGGGAGAGACGCAAAGAGGCGAGCCUGUGUGUUGAGUCCCAGACUUGGUGUGUGACUACAGGCAAAGUACUUCACCUUUCUAGAUGUCAGCCCCGCCCCCCUCACCUCCCAAGUUUAAAUAAGAACUUAUUUUAGACUACAUGAUCCUGUUUUCAAUUUUUAAGAGUUCUGU